ACUCAGACACCAAAAGAACACUCUGCACUACCUAGUGAGGUAAGAUUCAUUAACAGUAAAAAUUAAUGACAAAUGGAAAAUAUUGAACAGAAGUCAUUUAUAAUAGCUUCAACUUUGGGCACGAUUGAGGUUUCUGCAUAUGGCUUUGGAUGUUCAACGACCAAUUGAAUAAAAGCUUCCAUGUUGGAAUGUAAUGGAAUGAAUUUCUCAUCCAUCAUUGAACCACAACUUUUCCAUUUCAUAGCCCAGUGGUAGCUCUCUG
rnacentral:misc_RNA from 1 species